rnacentral:rRNA from 1 species
GAUGAACGCUGGCGGCGUGCUUAACACAUGCAAGUCGAACGGAAAGGCCCAAGCUUGCUUGGGUACUCGAGUGGCGAACGGGUGAGUAACACGUGGGUGAUCUGCCCUGCACUUCGGGAUAAGCCUGGGAAACUGGGUCUAAUACCGGAUAGGACAAUGGUUUGGAUGCCAUUGUGGAAAGUUUUUUCGGUGUGGGAUGAGCUCGCGGCCUAUCAGCUUGUUGGUGGGGUAAUGGCCUACCAAGGCGUCGACGGGUAGCCGGCCUGAGAGGGUGUACGGCCACAUUGGGACUGAGAUACGGCCCAGACUCCUACGGGAGGCAGCAGUGGGGAAUAUUGCACAAUGGGCGCAAGCCUGAUGCAGCGACGCCGCGUGGGGGAUGACGGCCUUCGGGUUGUAAACUCCUUUCGCUAGGGACGAAGCGUUUUGUGACGGUACCUGGAGAAGAAGCACCGGCUAACUACGUG